rnacentral:rRNA from 1 species
AUUGAACGCUGGCGGCAUGCCUAACACAUGCAAGUCGAACGCGUGGCGGACGGGUGAGUAAUGUCUGGGAAACGGCCCGAUGGGGGGGGAUAACUACUGGAAACGGUAGCUAAUACCGCAUACCAUCGGAUGAGACCAUAUGGGAUUAGCUAGUAGGUGGGGUAACGGCUCACCUAGGCGACGAUCCCUAGCUGGUAUGAGAGGAUGACCAGCCACUCUGGAACUGAGACACGGUCCCGACUCCUACGGGAGGCAGCAGUGGGGAAGUUUGCACAAUGGGCGAAAUCCUGAUGCAGCCAUGCCGCGUGUAUGAUGAAGGCCUUCGGGUUGUAAAGUACUUUCAGCGAGGAGGCGUUACUCGCAGAAGAAGCACCGGCUAACUCCGUGCCAGCCGCCGCGGUAAUUC